rnacentral:rRNA from 1 species
GAUGAACGCUGGCGGCAUGCCUAAUACAUGCAAGUCGAGCGAAGCGGGGACGGGUGAGUAACACGUGGAUAACCUCCUAUAAGACUGGGAUAACUUCGGGAAACCGGAGCUAACCCCGAUACUUAUAGAUGGGUCCGCGCUGCAUUAGCUAGUUGGUAAGGUAACGGCUUACCAAGGCAACGCUGCAUAGCUGACCUGAGAGGGUGAUCGGCCACACUGGAACUGAGACACGGCCCAGACUCCUACGGGAGGCAGCAGUAGGGAAUCUUGCGCAAUGGGCGCAAGCCUGACGGAGCAAUGCCGCGUGAGUGAUGAAGGUCCUCGGGUCGUAAAACUCUGUUAGUAGGGAAGCGGUACCUAAACAGAAAGCCACGGCUAACUCCGUGCCAGCAGCCGCGGUAAUAC